rnacentral:rRNA from 1 species
GACGAACGCUGGCGGCGUGCUUAACACAUGCAAGUCGAACGGUAAGGCCCUUCGGGGUACACGAGUGGCGAACGGGUGAGUAACACGUGGGUGAUCUGCCCUGCACUUCGGGAUAAGCCUGGGAAACUGGGUCUAAUACCGGAUAGGACUCCGGACUGCAUGGUCUGGGGUGGAAAGCUUUUGCGGUGUGGGAUGGGCCCGCGGCCUAUCAGCUUGUUGGUGGGGUGAUGGCCUACCAAGGCGACGACGGGUAGCCGGCCUGAGGGGGUGACCGGCCACACUGGGACGGGGAUACGGCCCAGACUACUACGGGAGGCAGCAGUGGGGAAUAUUGCACAAUGGGCGCAAGCCUGAUGCAGCGACGCCGCGUGAGGGAUGACGGCCUUCGGGUUGUAAACCUCUUUCAGCAUCGACGAAGCGAAAGUGACGGUAGGUGCAGAAGAAGGACCGGCCAACUACGUGCCAGCCGCCGCAGUAA